CCUACGGGUGGCUGCAGUGAGGAAUAUUGGUCAAUGGUCGGGAGACUGCACCAGCCAAGCCGCGUGAGGGAUGAAGGUACAGAGUAUCGUAAACCUCUUUUGUCAGGGAACAAAGGCGGGGACGUGUCCCCGGAUGAGUGUACCUGAAGAAAAAGCAUCGGCUAACUCCGUGCCAGCCGCCGCGGUAAUACGGGGGAUGCGCGCGUUAUCCGGAUUUAUUGGGGUUAAUGGGUACGCAGGCGGUCUGUUAAGUCAGUGGUCAAAGCCCGGGGCUCAACCCCGGUCCGCCGUUGAAACUGGCAGUCUCGAGUUGGAGAGAAGUAGGCGGAAGGCGCGGUGUAGCGGUGAAAUGCAUAGAUAUCGCGCAGAACUCCGAUUGCGAAGGCAGCAUGCCGGCUCCACACUGACGCUGAGGCACGAAAGUGUGGGUAUCGAACAGGAUUAGAUACCCUAGUAGUC
rnacentral:rRNA from 1 species